GAUUAGCGAUUUAGUGGAAUGCUAACGAGUGGUCAGCUAUGCGGGACGUGUGCGCAUCGUUUUUGCUGCACUUUCACACGUUCUCUAUAUGCCUCACCGGAAACCCCGUGGCCGACUCCACUCGUCAGAUUUACCACCGUCGUAACCUCUGCUUCGUCUCCCAAGAAUUCCAGCAGUUUACAGUUUAUAGCGGUAUUAAAGGUAAUUCGUAAAAGUACUGACAAAAUUGUUUAUACGAUAGAAGUUAAAAAACGAAAUUAAGCAGAUUUACCAGCUAACGUUUAUAUUUUAUAGUGAUAUAAAAUAUGGUUAUUGUUUACCAUCAUGGAAGUUGACAGGUUGACCGCGACGGUGGUCAUCAGUGACAUAGGUUAUGAAAUUUUUUACUGGGUUGGCAACUAAGUGAUUGGGGAUUUUAUCAUUAGGUGGUACUGACAACAUCCGCAAUCACUUAGUUACCAACCUAAUAGAACGAUCGAAGUAAGAUGAAUUUCAUGAAUUAACAAAUUUUCAACGAUGCGAAUGACUUAGAUAACAUUGUCACAGGGAAUUGAGAUACCUUCCUUCUUCUCCUCUUUCUUUCCAAAGUCGGUAUAAAAAGUGCACAAAUGUAAUAUAAUAUUUUGCAAGAAUAAAAUGUUGUAGCGUAACGUAUUUCAAUCUGUGGCGACUCCAGCGGUAAAAUAUAUAAAAUUCGCGUAGCGGUCGACGUGUUAGAUAUUGGACAGAUUUAUUAUCGUUGUAACCUCAUCUUUGAACUCAUCUCUCAGGAAUUCGACGAGUUUACAGUUUACAGUGGUAUUAAAACGUUAUUUUUCUAUAUUUUACAGUUAAAUCUGCAAGUGUGAACGAACGAAAGUCUGUUUAAGCGGGAAGUUUGGAAUGUAACCUUAUAUGGGACUAAGUUUCGCCGUGACCAAUGUGUGAAUCGUAAAAUAGAAAUACGAUGAUCGUCAGUAAACGAUAAAUUCGAUCUUUUGUUGAACUUUCGAUUCGUAGUCGGCCCUUCUGUGCAAGUGGGCUCGCUGUGGAUCUCGAAGAUAUUGUGGGUUCAUUUGGAAUUUGUGUAUUUAGAGACGUUUUAUGUAUACACGGAGGGAAGCUGCCGGCUGUUUCUCCUGUUUCCAGAGAUACGGAAAUCUCGUGUAGCUUACGUGAUGCCAAAGUAAACGCUGUUUCUGUGUUGCAUAAGAAUUUUUUUCAGAGGAAAUACUUUUUUAGAUAUUUAAAAUAUCAAAAACAUUGACGAUAUUUGGAAAAAAUCGUAUAUAUAUAUAUAUGUAUGUUUUUUAACUGGUUUUUAUAGGAAUUCAUAUUGGGCAAGGAAUCUGUAAUAUUGUUUUAUCGAUGGACUGUCAGAAAUGUUUAUAAACGUUGAAACGACGAAUCUAACUAACUGCAUAGCUCGAACUUUCCGUUUGCUGGUUAUCAUGAGACAGCAGAUUCGUCAACAUGUUCCGUAAUGACAGGCCAUAAAUUUGACCACCAUAUCAAGACAUCGAAGGCAAUUUUAUUGUAGUCAAGGCAGUGGAGUUAACGCUUAUAGAAAACGGCUGUUCAGUUUAUUGUAAAAUCACUAACGUUACGUGUCUGAACGAUAGAAUUGUGAUAAUAUAUAGAAAUAAAUAGGUAUGACACGCGUGUUGAUAAAGUAAUGAUUAGAUAUAUGUAUAUAUGUUCAUUGUACGUGUAAUGACUUAAUUUAGGUGAUGAGUAUCAAAGAUAUGUUUAUACACGCAAUUAAGACGACAGUGCUACAUAUUUAGAAGUUGUUUUCAAAGACGAUUUCAUUUGACAUUGACACUCACAAAUUAAUUCGCGGAUCGCAAUUAAAGUCAAUGUUAGGAAUGAGAAGGUUAAAGAAUGUAUUGAAGCAAAAAAUGUUCAUGUUGAAUAAUUUCAAUCAUCCAUAGGCAGACAUAUAUUUUUUCUUAUACUACAUAGUAAAAUUCUACUGUUUAUAUUCAAGUUAAUUAAUUAAUUUUUAUUCCAGACUUUAAAAAGAUUUAGAAAAAUUAUAACACGCUUAUCUAUUAAAUUUUCUACCAACCUAACCCCAACAACUAGUUACAAAACCGUUCACGAUGUUAAACAUUUGAAUUCUUCCCUUUCUGGGAAUAAAAUAUUUCUUUCGAAAUAUUUCGAUGGUAAAAUUUCAUUUAGGUGAUCGAUUCAAUUUGUCUACGUCAAAAGUCACUAAAAAUAUUUAUAUUCUAAUAUGCCAUGGAAGAUAUCAAAAGGUUGAAUUCUUGGGAAACUAUUAAGCAAAUGAUUAUCAGCGACGAUCAUCGCGAUAAUACGUGUACAGAUACGUAUAUGGAGAAUUUUCUUUAAUGUUAGUUGGAUACAUUCCUGCGUUAUCUGUGGAACGCAGUUACUCGAAACGUUGAGUCAUAUCGCGCGGUAUCGGUAUUUUGGUUCACCUACGUGAACUACAUGACAUUCGUGCACACCGAGAGCUGCUGUCAAAACGACUUGUUUCGAUAGCUUUAGGAUUGCGUCGGUGGUCGCGUUCCAAUUACCGUUUCGAGGGCGCAGUUCAAAGUAACAUUGAAUGAAAGAGCGUUGCGGUCGCCGGAAAUUUUUUACUUGAAUAAUCGUCUACUUGGAAAGUGACCUUCAUCAAUUUUUUGAUAGAAUUAUCAAUUUCAUUAAUUUUAUUAAUUUUACUAUAUGUGUUUUAUUUGAUUCCUCUUAACCUUUUUAAAAGUAUACUUUUGUUCAUUUCUAUUUCAUCUUUCCCAUUUCAAUACCUCGAAAAUCAAAAAAGAAUACAACGAAAGAAAAAUGUUUGUAUUUUUCCUUGAAAAAAUUGUCGUUAGUUUGUUCAAUGUAUAAUGUUGAAAAUGACAACGUGAGUUCGCGCUCGCCAUCUAUAUGCAGAUGCGCUAGUUACAAUAAAUAGUAACUAGAAGAUAGUUCUAGGUAUUAUCGAUAGGUUUAAUCGAUAGAUUUUUGUUUUACUUUUUAGUCAGUCCAUGUAAGAAAGUGUAAUAAAGGUUGUUUAGCUCAGAACGGUGUGAUAGAUUUAUCCGUAAAAUAAACUAAUAGCUAUUGUGAUUCUACCUCUAAAUAAACAAAUAACAACAUAUAAUUUUAUUUUUCUUCUCAACUUUUACAAAAUUACCAUUCUAUUUAUUUCCAGUAUAUACUUUUCACUCCAAUUUCAAAUUUCGGGUUCUUGUUUUAAAAAACUACUUUAAAACGACUUUUUCCAAUAGACGAGACUUCGAGUCAUCACGACUAUGUUUAACGACUUAAGUCUUUAUGAAUAUUUUCAUUAUGUGAAGUUUAGCAGAAUUCUUAUUUUAAGACGCGAUUUCUUAU